ACUGGGCNUAAAGCGCGCGCAGGCGGAUCAACAAGUCAGUCGUUAAANCUCCCGGCUAAACUGGGAGAGGUCGNAUGAAACUGUUNNUCUAGAGUGUGGUAGAGGUAUGUGGAAUUCCCNCUGUAGUGGUGAAAUGCGUAGAUAUGCGGAGGAACACCAGUGGCGAAGGCGGCAUACUGGCCCACAACUUACGCUGAGGCGCGAAAGCAUGGGUAGCGAACGGGAUUAGAAACCCCGGUAGUCCAUGCCGUAAACGAUGUGUNCU
rnacentral:rRNA from 1 species